rnacentral:misc_RNA from 1 species
AGUAAAACAGUACGUGAAAUUGUUGAAAGGGAAACGAUUGAAGUCAGUCAUGCCGGCGUUGGAUUCAGCUUGCUUCGCGGAGCUUGCGCAUUUCCUCGCAUGGCAGGUCAGCGUCAGUUUUGCGCGGCGUGAAAAGGCUCGGGUAAGGUAGCUCUCUUCGGGGAGUGUUAUAGACCUGGGCAAAUGCGCAGCGCGGGACUGAGGAUUGCAGCGGACACCUCUUCGGAGGCGCGGUGACCGAACCCUGCUCGGCCACCCUCGUUCGAUAGCGUGCUAGCGGACGCGGGAGCGGCAGUGCACCGGAACAGGCAAGCCAGCGGUUCGCUUAGGAUGCUGACGUAAUGGCUUUAAA